rnacentral:rRNA from 1 species
GACAGAGGGUGCAAACGUUGUUCGGAAUCACUGGGCGUAAAGCGCGCGUAGGCGGAUUGUUAAGUCAGGGGUGAAAUCCUGGAGCUCAACUCCAGAACUGCCUUUGAUACUGGAGAGCUUGAGUCCGGAAGAGGUGAGUGGAACUCCGAGUGUAGAGGUGAAAUUCGUAGAUAUUGGGAAGAACACCGGUGGCGAAGGCGGCCCACUGGAUCGGUACUGACGCUGAGGUGCGAAAGCGUGGGGAGCAAACAGGG